AUUGAACGCUAGCGGGAUGCCUUACACAUGCAAGUCGAACGGCAGCACGGACUUCGGUCUGGUGGCGAGUGGCGAACGGAGUGAGUAAUGUAUCGGAACGUGCCCAGUAGCGGGGGAUAACUACGCGAAAGUCGUAGCUAAUACCGCAUACGCCCUACGGGGGAAAGCAUGGGAUCGCAUAGACCUUGCUCUAUUGGAGCAGCCGAUAUCGGAUUAGCUAGUUGGUGGGGUAACGGUCACCAAGCGACGGAUCCGUACUGGUUUGAGAGGACGACUCAGCCACACUGGGACUGAAACACGGCCCAUACUUCUACGGGAGGCAGCAGUGGGGAAUUUUGGACAAUGGGGGAAACCCUGAUCCAGCCAUCCCGCGUGUGCGAUGAAGGCCUUCGGGUUGUAAAGCACUUUUGGCAGGAAAGAAACGUCAUGGGCUAAUACCCCGUGAAACUGACGGUACCUGCAGAAUAAGCACCGGCUAACUACGUGCCAGCAGCCGCGGUAAUACGUAGGGUGCAAGCGUUAAUCGGAAUUACUGGGCGUAAAGCGUGCGCAGGCGGUUCGGAAAGAAAGAUGUGAAAUCCCAGAGCUUAACUUUGGAACUGCAUUUUUAACUACCGGGCUAGAGUGUGUCAGAGGGAGGUGGAUUCCGCGUGUAGCAGUGAAAUGCGUAGAUAUGCGGAGGACACCGAUGGCGAAGGCAUGCCUCCUUGGGGUAACACUGACGCUCAUGCACGAAAGCGUGGGGAGCACACAGGAUUA
rnacentral:rRNA from 1 species